UACGGGGGGGGCAAGCGUUGUUCGGAAUUACUGGGCGUAAAGGGCCAGUAGGCGGCCAACUAAGUCCGACGUGAAAUCCCAAGGCUUAACCUUGGAACUGCGUCGGAUACUGGAUGGCUUGAAUUCGGGAGAGGGAUGCAGAAUUCCAGGUGUAGCGGUGAAAUGCGUAGAUAUCUGGAGGAACACCGGUGGCGAAGGCGGCAUCCUGGACCGACACUGACACUGAGGAGCGAAAGCGUGGGGAGCAAACAGG
rnacentral:rRNA from 1 species